rnacentral:rRNA from 1 species
GACGAACGCUGGCGGCGUGCUUAACACAUGCAAGUCGAACGGAAAGGCGCUGCUUUUGUGGGGUGCUCGAGUGGCGAACGGGUGAGUAAGACGUGAGUAACCUGCCCUUGACUUUUGGAUAACUUCAGGAAACUGGGGCUAAUACCGGAUCGGAGCUCCUGCUGCAUGGUGGGGGUUGGAUAGUUUCGGCGGUUGGGGCUGGACUCGCGGCUUAUCAGCUUGUUGGUGGGGGAGUGGGUUACCAAGGCUUUGACGGGUAGCCGGCCUGAGAGGGUGACCGGCCACAAUGGGACUGAGGUACGGCCCAGACGCCUACGGGAGGCAGCAGUGGGGAAUAUUGCACAAUGGGCGGAAGCCUGAUGCAGCGACGCCGCGGGCGUGAUGACGUCCUGCGGGUUGUAAACCGCUUUCGCCUGUGACGAAGCGUGAGUGACGGUAAUGGGUAAAGAAGCACCGGCUAACUACGUG